GCGUUUUCAAGCCAAAACUGUGAAACGCCUAUGCGUAGAAAUCAGUCCGCUGGACUGAUUUCUAAUCCCGCUUCGAUGCGUUGGAAAAUGUUCUAAGCUAUCG
rnacentral:misc_RNA from 1 species